CGCCCUCUGGCGGCGUGCUUAACACAUGCAAGUCGAACGGAAAGGCCCUGCUUUUGUGGGGUGCUCGAGUGGCGAACGGGUGAGUAACACGUGAGUAACCUGCCCUUGACUUUGGGAUAACUUCAGGAAACUGGGGCUAAUACCGGAUAGGAGCUCCUGCUGCAUGGUGGGGGUUGGAAAGGUUCGGCGGUUGGGGAUGGACUCGCGGCUUAUCAGCUUGUUGGUGGGGUAGUGGCUUACCAAGGCUUUGACGGGUAGCCGGCCUGAGAGGGUGACCGGCCACAUUGGGACUGAGAUACGGCCCAGACUCCUACGGGAGGCAGCAGUGGGGAAUAUUGCACAAUGGGCGGAAGCCUGAUGCAGCAACGCCGCGUGCGGGAUGACGGCCUUCGGGUUGUAAACCGCUUUCGCCUGUGACGAAGCGUGAGUGACGGUAAUGGGUAAAGAAGCACCGGCUAACUACGUG
rnacentral:rRNA from 1 species